UCUGUACCUAAAACUGUGUCUCUGCAUGCUUUUACAGGCAAUACUUGGACUCCAGUCCUCUGACCAUAGGCCUACAAGAAUUUUUGCUUCAAUUAGAGACAGUGUGCAUUUACCAUGUGGCACAUCCUACAUCAAUUCCUGCUCCUCUGUUACCUGGAGUAUGGAGGAAAAUGGGUUUCCUAUCCAAUUAGUACUAUCAGGCAAGGUGGACGUGAAGGGUCCAAAGCCAGGAAGAGCCAGUCGACUGAAAGUGGGACAUGACUGCUCUCUACAAAUUCAACCUCUUGAAAUAGAUGAUGGAAGAGUUUACACCUGUGAAGAUGGGGCCACCAGUUCAAGGGUUUCUCUUCACCUUCUCAACAUUACUCUGGCAACAGACACCAAUAUAGCACCAGAGAUGGAUAUCAAGCUCCAAUGUCACCUGAAUAUAUUCUCAGGCCUUGUCCCACAAUGCAACCAUAGUGAAAUACAGCUGAAUUGGCUGAAUGAAGUCAAAAGUUUGGACACACCU